rnacentral:misc_RNA from 1 species
GAUGAAGAACGCAGCGAAAUGCGAUAAGUAAUGUGAAUUGCAGAAUUCAGUGAAUCAUCGAAUCUUUGAACGCACCUUGCACCCUUUGGCAUUCCGAAGGGUAUGCUCGUUUGAGUGUCAUUGUACUCUCACACUUCUGAUCCUUUGGAUUGGGAGCGGUGGACUUGGGUGUUGCUGCUUUACUGUGGCUCACCUCAAAUGCAUUAGUGCAACUCUUGGUUGGACAUAGUACGGCGUGAUAAGUAUCUUCGCCGGCACCUCGCAAGAGGGUGGCUGAUCAGGAGCUCUGUGCUUUCCAACUGUCUUCAGACAACAACUGACAACUUGACCUCAAAUCGAGUAGGACCACCCGCUGAACUUAAGCAUAUCAAUAAGCGGAGGA